CUUAUCGGCUACAUCUAGUUGGAAAGCCCCAGCAAAUUUAUACUGGAUUUGUGGUAAGAAAACUUAUUUGGAGUUACCACAAGAUUGGGAAGGGGCAUGUGUAUUAGGUAUGCCAAAGCCAUCCUUCUUCUUGUUGCCAAUUGAGACAGGAGAGACCUUGGGAGUUAAGGUUUACGAUGUAAAUCAUAAAAGGGAGAGAGCA